AGGGCCAGUCGAUCAUAAACAAAAAAACAACAACAACAAAACAAACAAAAAACAACUAACAGUUAAACUAUUACAGAUCUAGAUCCACAUUUACAAUAAUUUACAAUGACUUGUUAUUUAACUUGUAUUCUCAAAGCUAGAUCUAUCUAGAAACCAGAUGUCUAAUAAAACACUAAGACUUAGAUAUCUACUAGUCUAUACUAAUACUAAAUAAUUAGUAAUACUACUAGUAGUACUACUACUAGUCAUUCCAUUUUCUAUAUUCUAGUUGACUAAGACUAAAAAUUAGUAAAAAGUUAAAAAAGUACACUUGGCUCACUUGCCUUGUUUUUUGGUUGAGUCUUUCUUGACUUAACUUACUUGCCAGGUUAAGACACUAGACAGUUACACUAUUCACUAUUUACACAGUAGUAGGGUACGAAAGAGUUUGAAGGAGACUAAGUUCUACAAAGAUCAGGAAGUGGAUAGGAAUGUUACAACUUUUGUCGACAUGCACACUUUUUCAAUGUAAAAACUGUGUUUCCAUUU
rnacentral:sRNA from 1 species